rnacentral:rRNA from 1 species
AAGCGAGGAGGAGGCUACUGAAGUUAAUACCUUCAGAUAGUGGACGUUACUCGCAGAAUAAGCACCGGCUAACUCUGUGCCAGCAGCCGCGGUAAUACAGAGGGUGCAAGCGUUAAUCGGAUUUACUGGGCGUAAAGCGCGCGUAGGCGGCUAAUUAAGUCAAAUGUGAAAUCCCCGAGCUUAACUUGGGAAUUGCAUUCGAUACUGGUUAGCUAGAGUGUGGGAGAGGAUGGUAGAAUUCCAGGUGUAGCGGUGAAAUGCGUAGAGAUCUGGAGGAAUACCGAUGGCGAAGGCAGCCAUCUGGCCUAACACUGACGCUGAGGUGCGAAAGCAUGGGGAGCAAACAGGAUUAGAUACCCUGGUAGUCCAUGCCGUAAACGAUGUCUACUAGCCGUUGGGGCCUUUGAGGCUUUAGUGGCGCAGCUAACGCGAUAAGUAGACCGCCUGGGGAGUACGGUCGCAAGACUAAAACUCAAAUGAAUUGACGGGGGCCCGCAC